rnacentral:lncRNA from 1 species
GUUACAAUGACUGAUUCAGGCUGGGUCACGUACCUAAACUUGUGACCAGGGGUCUCUAGUUUUAGAAAUGGAAACCCCUUUCACAACCACGAUGUUGGAGAGGGAAGCAGCUACCUCAAAAGAAGGGAAUGAACGGUUGAGACCAGACAAUAUAAUAAGUGGCCACUCUCUGGUAGAGAAAGACUUUGGAGGUAAAUCCACGGGAACCUUCUCAGUGCAGUGGUAAUACAGAGUAUAAAGUAGCCCUCCUUACUCUUAAGAGGAAAUUUUGCCUCUUCACCUUUCCAAAAGAAAUGACGGU